GCUGGGCAUGGUGGUGCACGCCUGUAAUCCCAGCAGCUCGGGAGGCUGAGGCAGGAAGAUCAAGAAUUCAAAGCCAGCCUCAGCAAAAGUGAAGCUCUAAGCAACUCACUGAGACCCUGUCUCUA
rnacentral:sRNA from 1 species